rnacentral:lncRNA from 1 species
CAUUUAUCCAAUUCUCUGUUGGUUUUCAUUAAGCUCCAAGUAUGACAAAUGUCGGUAUAAACUCAAGCGCUGUGAACAGGGACGCCAUGCCAUGUCAAAGCCAAUUCUCUUUCCCAAAGUGAACAUCUCUUUCACAUCACAAACUACAUGCUUUCUAUCUGGACUUGAAAUUGACCUAAAACUCCGCUUCAUCGUCGCCAUCAUCA